rnacentral:rRNA from 1 species
GAUGAACGCUGGCGGCGUGCCUAAUACAUGCGAGUCGAGCGAACAGACGAGGAGCUUGCUCCUCUGACGUUAGCGGCGGACGGGUGGGUAACACGUGGAUAACCUACCUAUAAGACUGGGAUAACUUCGGGAAACCGGAGCUAAUACCGGAUAAUAUAUUGAACCGCAUGGUUCAAUAGUGAAAGACGGUUUUGCUGUCACUUAUAGAUGGAUCCGCGCCGCAUUAGCUAGUUGGUAAGGUAACGGCUUACCAAGGCAACGAUGCGUAGCCGACCUGAGAGGGUGAUCGGCCACACCGGAACUGAGACACGGUCCAGACUCCUACGGGAGGCAGCAGUAGGGAAUCUUCCGCAAUGGGCGAAAGCUUGACGGAGCAACGCCGCGUGAGUGAUGAAGGUCUUCGGAUCGUAAAACUCUGUUAUUAGGGAAGAACAAAUGUGUAAGUAACUAUGCACGUCUUGACGGUACCUAAUCAGAAAGCCACGGCUAACUACGUG